AUAAUAUAAUCCAUGACCAAUGGUACCUUUUAUAUAUCACAAAAUCCGUUUCAUUGUAUAUAUCUUCAAGUCUUCUUAAUCUAACUGAACUUGAUGAACUUGAAGGAGUGGAUGAUAAAAGACCAGGUAAUGCUAACGCUGGAGUCAUUGGUGAUGGAGUGUCAUUAUCAGCUGGCACAUUGUCGGUUUCCUGAUCUAUUAAUUCUUUUCCUUUUCCUUCUGUAUUCCAAUUCCAUGUACCAUUUUCGUCGAAUAUAACAUCUCUACUUAUAAUCACUUUAUUGGUAA
rnacentral:lncRNA from 1 species